rnacentral:rRNA from 1 species
CCCUUAGAUGAUUUGGGCUGCACGCGCGCUACACUGACCCUAACAAUGAGCAACUGUCUGGCCUGAGAUGGCUGGGUAGCCUUUUCAACCCAUGUCAUGAUUGGGCUAGAUUUUUGUAAGUCUUGAUCUCUAACGAGGAAUCCCUAGUAUGCGUGAAUCAUCAAUCCAAGCAGAUUAUGUCCCUGCCCUUUGUAUACACCGCCCGUCGCUCCUACUGAUUGGGUGAUCCGGUGAGCUGUUCGGCCAUAGCAAUGUUUCUUGAGCAGGGCAAUGAAUGUUUCGCAAACCUUGCCACUUAGAGGAAGGAGAAGUCGUAACA